rnacentral:lncRNA from 1 species
GGCUGAGAAAGAAUUGGGACCUAGCUCGGCCUGGCGAGGAGCAGCCUGGGGAGGAAGGGAGAGGUCAGAUGGGUCUGUAGAAAAGGAAGAUUAGAAAGACUCAGCGACGCUUGGGAAAAUGAAAGGAAUUGAAAUUAAGAGAAGGGAGAAAUUGAAGUGUGGCACCAAGAUUGAAAGGAGAAAGAGGUUGAGGGAUAGUGAGGGAGGUUGGAGAAGAGAGUAAAAAGAGGCCGCUUGCCGGAUUUGAAAUUGGUGAGAUGUUUCUUGGGCUGGUCACUCUGAGGACCUGAGGUCGUAGGUGGAUCUUUCUCAUGGAGCAAAGAACAGGAGGACAGGGGAUUGAUCUCCCAAGGGAGGUCCCCCGAUCCGAGUCACGGCACCAAAUCUCAUGCGCGUCCGUAUGAAGAGACCACCAAACAGGCUUUGUGUAGCAGCAGCAAAAAUGGCAAAAUGAGGACUUUUGAGAAUUCCUUUCUCUAUGGAAACAAAACCCUGGGGGAAAAUGGUCUGAAUCAACCUUUUCAGAACUCUGGAAAUUAGCCCGAGACUUGAAGCAAUUCAGGUUGCAUUUGUAUAAGAAAAGUGACAGAAUCUCAGUAAGAACAGCAAGCUUUGAAGGAUUUGAACUUGCCCAGUUGCCUUCCUUCUUUCUCCAUCUCUGCAGGGGACUUAAAACCAACAUCCCACACUCAUAAUGAAAACCUGGCAGGAGGCAGAACAGGAUUGGAGCUGCUUCAAAGCCUUAGGUCCAGAGAACUCAUCACCUAUGCAGAUCCUCAAUAAGACUCAAAGCUGAUUCCGCCUCAGAAACCAUGGAGACCCAAAGCCAAAUUCAAAGUGCUGAAAGUUAACUCAUCCAAUCAGUCAACUCUUGUACAGACCUCCUUUUUUUUUGUUCUUGGAGUUUGUUUUAUUCUAAUAAAGGUGUUUUAUAUUGUU